rnacentral:misc_RNA from 1 species
GAUGAAGAACGUAGCGAAAUGCGAUAAGUAAUGUGAAUUGCAGAAUUCAGUGAAUCAUCGAAUCUUUGAACGCACAUUGCGCCCCCUGGUAUUCCGGGGGGCAUGCCUGUUCGAGCGUCAUUACAACCCUCAAGCUCUGCUUGGUAUUGGGCCCCGCCAGUUCUGGCGGGCCCUAAAGUCAGUGGCGGUGCCUUCCGGCUCCGAGCGUAGUAAUUCUUCUCGCUCUGGAGACCCGGUUGUGUGCUUGCCAACAACCCCCAAUUGUUUAAGGUUGACCUCGGAUCAGGUAGGGAUACCCGCUGAACUUAAGCAUAUCAAUAAGCGG